GAUGAACGCUGGCGGUGUGCCUAAUACAUGCAAGUCGAGCGAACAGACGAGGAGCUUGCUCCUCUGACGUUAGCGGCGGACGGGUGAGUAACACGUGGAUAACCUACCUAUAAGACUGGGAUAACUUCGGGAAACCGGAGCUAAUACCGGAUAAUAUAUUGAACCGCAUGGUUCAAUAGUGAAAGACGGUUUUGCUGUCACUUAUAGAUGGAUCCGCGCCGCAUUAGCUAGUUGGUAAGGUGACGGCUUACCAAGGCGACGAUGCGUAGCCGACCUGAGAGGGUGAUCGGCCACACUGGAACUGAGACACGGUCCAGACUCCUACGGGAGGCAGCAGUAGGGAAUCUUCCGCAAUGGGCGAAAGCCUGACGGAGCAACGCCGCGUGAGUGAUGAAGGUCUUCGGAUCGUAAAACUCUGUUAUUAGGGAAGAACAAAUGUGUAAGUAACUAUGCACGUCUUGACGGUACCUAAUCAGAAAGCCACGGCUAACUACGUG
rnacentral:rRNA from 1 species